rnacentral:lncRNA from 1 species
GUGGGACUCUGGGAAAUGUAGUUCUGCGUGGACACUGCAGAGGCCCAGCCGCGUCCGCCUCGGUUUUGUAGACCAGAGGGCCCCUCUCAUCCAGCACCUGUGUGGCCUUGUUGGUGUACCCUCAUGAAGGAAAUCACAUCCCUGUGUGACCCCGCCCCUGUGGCGUCCUUGGCUCUGAUCCGGUGUCUGGCUGAUGUCAGUGACCUGGCUUAUGAGUGGUGGAGAAAUUGAAAGUGCUCUGAGUUGGAUCACCCUAAAGGUGUUAUCUGUCUACUCUCCUGCUCCAGUAAUUGUAUUAGAGAAGGGCUGAGACCAGGCCUUGGAAGCAGAGGGGAGGGAAGGGGCCCCAGGGCCAGCAGUGUUGACCUCAGAAC